GAAAAUGCCGACUCGAGCUUGCCCUUCCUCAGAUCUUGGCUGAAAUUUAUUUUCUCUUCGAUCGGCGGAGGGACGAUCCAGUUUCUGUAACGUUGCGUUGUGAUUUAUUCGUUUUAAAUCGUCUUAAUUCGCAAUCCCAUUACGAAACUUUCGUUUGCGUUGUUCCUCGUCGAGAUCGUGUAUAAAUAUGCUCCACUGCGAAUCGUGAUAUCUGCAUCUCUCUUCUAUACAUCUCACUCAUAUUCAUAUCUUUGCGCUCAUCUCUCUUAAUGGCUAACUCAAAGGUCUUUUUUCCAAUCUGAAGUCCGGGCGGUGCUCAUCCUUUGUCGAGCUUCGAUUCUGGGAGGCUAAGAAUGUUAAGUGUGGUGGGGAGCUUAUGUGGAUGGAUCUGCUCAUGGUGGAUGUUAACAUUGGUUUUCUAACUGGUGCUUCAAGCCUUAAAGAUAUACCUCUGGUAUAUUGACUUCUCUUUAUCCAAAUUUUACUCUUCUAAAAGGAUGAGAGCAGACAAUGACCAUACCAUUGGAAGCUCGAUAGAGAGCUGGAAGAUGAAGAGCAAAAGGUCCCGGAAAUUAGGAGGAACAAUAACAACGUGUGUGAGUUAUUCUAUGAUACAAGAACCGGCAACUAAUGGGCUCAAGAGAAUGAUGGAAACCACUCUUAUGGAGAUUCUGAAGAGGCUGGAAAGAAGCUAUGAGUUGAUAACAUCAAUGCUAACAGUGGUUCUCUUAGACAGAUUAUCAGGUGUAUUAUAUGGACAAGAAUGACAUGUUCUGUGAUUUUUUUUAGAUUGUAGUUUGUUACAAGGAUAACAAUUAUCAUGUCUUGAAGGACAUAUGUGUCAA